rfam:Trachymyrmex zeteki contig10907, whole genome shotgun sequence.
GCCUCGGUAGUUUAAUGGCUUAGGACGCUCGUACGGAACAGAAGAGAUCCGGGUUCGACUCCCGGCCGAGGUA